rnacentral:rRNA from 1 species
AGUGAACGCUGGCGGUAGGCCUAACACAUGCCAGUCGAACGGCAGCACAGUAAGAGCUUGCUCUUACGGGUGGCGAGUGGCGGACGGGUGAGGAAUACAUCGGAAUCUACUUUUUCGUGGGUGAUAACGUAGGGAAACUUACGCUAAUACCGCAUACGACCUACGGGUGAAAGCAGGGGAUCUUCGGACCUUGCGCGAUUGAAUGAGCCGAUGUCGGAUUAGCUAGUUGGCGGGGUAAAGGCCCACCAAGGCGACGAUCCGUAGCUGGUCUGAGAGGAUGAUCAGCCACACUGGAACUGAGACACGGUCCAGACCCCUACGGGAGGCAGCAGUGGGGAAUAUUGGACAAUGGGCGCAAGCCUGAUCCAGCCAUACCGCGUGGGUGAAGAAGGCCUUCGGGUUGUAAAGCCCUUUUGUUGGGAAAGAAAAGCAGCAGGUUAAUACCCCGCUGUUCUGACGGUACCCAAAGAAUAAGCACCGGCUAACUUCGUG